AAACUAACAAGGAUUCCCCUAGUAACGGCGAGUGAAGAGGGAAGAGCCCAAGAUUGAAAGCUGGCGUCUUCGGCGUCCGCAUUGUAAUCUCAAGAAGUGUUUUCCGCUUCGGACCAUGCCUAAGUCCCUUGGAAAAGGGCAUCAUAGAGGGUGAUAAUCCCGUACAUGGCAUGGAGCGCCCGAAGCUUUGUGAUACGCUUUCUAAGAGUCGAGUUGUUUGGGAAUGCAGCUCAAAAUGGGUGGUAAAUGCCAUCUAAGGCUAAAUAUUGGGGAGAGACCGAUAGCGAACAAGUACAGUGAUGGAAAGAUGAAAAGAACUUUGAAAAGAGAGUUAAACAGUACGUGAAAUUGCCAAAAGGGAAGGGUAGGAGGUCAGAGAUGCGGCCUGGGAUUCAGCCUUGCUUUUGCUUGGUGUUUUUCCCAGAUUGCAGGCCAACGUCGGUUUUGGGCACUGGAGAAGGGUAGGAGGAACGUGGCACCUCUCGGGGUGUGUUAUAGCCUCCUACUGGAUACAGCGACCGAGACCGAGGACAGCAGCGUACUCGCAAGAGCGGGC
rnacentral:rRNA from 1 species